GGCGUAAAGCGCGCGCAGGCGGUCCUUUAAGUCUGAUGUGAAAGCCCACGGCUCAACCGUGGAGGGUCAUUGGAAACUGGGGGACUUGAGUGCAGAAGAGGAAAGUGGAAUUCCAAGUGUAGCGGUGAAAUGCGUAGAGAUUUGGAGGAACACCAGUGGCGAAGGCGACUUUCUGGUCUGUAACUGACGCUGAGGCGCGAAAGCGUGGGGAGCAAACAGGAUUAGAUACCCUGGUAGUCCACGCCGUAAACGAUGAGUGCUAAGUGUUAGGGGGUUUCCGCCCCUUAGUGCUGCAGCUAACGCAUUAAGCACUCCGCCUGGGGAGUACGGUCGCAAGACUGAAACUCAAAGGAAUUGACGGGGGCCCGCACAAGCGGUGGAGCAUGUGGUUUAAUUCGAAUCAACGCGAAGAACCUUACCAGGUCUUGACAUCCCGGUGACCACUGUAAAGAUAUGGUUUUCCCUUCGGAGACCACGGUGAGAGGUGGUGCGUGGUUGUCGUCAUCUCGUGUCGUGAGAU
rnacentral:rRNA from 1 species